GGAUCACUGACUUCAAUUCCUCAACUCGGUGAACUGUGUUUAGUCUCCAUAGAUUAGGAGCUUUUACAUUGUCUUCUUCAGUCACAAUUGUUGCCUUGUCAAGAAAUCUGCAACCCACCAUUCGUCGUAUACAUUCAUCAAACCAUCAAUUCACUAAUAGUAAAUUUU